AUGUUUGACAAUGUGAUUUCCUGUCCUAGCCCUGUAAACCAGCCUUCUACCUACCAUUCACGGUCUAUUAACCCCUCCACUGCUUUGCAGUUUAUGGAUGCUUUUUUGGCCCUCCCAGCUCACAGUGAUGUGAUAUCAUCGCAGGAUCAAAAUGUUGAAGAGCUGGUUAAUCGUUUUAACUCUUCAUGUUCAGAAAUUUUAAAUGUAGUUGCCGCUCACAAAACCAAAAAACUGAAACCAAAUAAUCAACCAUGGUUUAAUAGCGACAUAAACAUUUUAAGGAAAAAGUGUAGAAGGGCAGAAAGACAAUGGAAGAAAGACAAAUUACAAAUUUCAUUUCAAAUCUUACAGAGUAACUUGUUUAACUUCCAAGAAGCAGUUUCCCUGGAAAGGGCAAAAUACUUUUCUAACAUAAUCUCGAAAUAUUCCCACUGCCCAAAGAUACUGUUUUCUACAUUAAACUCAGUAUUGAACCCUUCAAGACCGGCUGGUCCAGAACCUAGCCUAGACUCAUGUGAGAAUUUUUGUAACUUCUUUAUAAACAAAAUUGCUGAAAUUAGGGCACAUAUCUCUGGUAAUUUAACACAGAAUUAUCAAUAUGCAAAUAUUUGCCCCUCUGCUUUUUCUUAUUUUCAGAUUAUUUCACACACUGAGAUGUUGGACAUUAUUUCUAACAUGAAAUCAACCACUUGCUCUCUUGUUGCUAUUCCCACAAAGUUACUAAAGGAUGUUCUAUCCUCUGUGUUGCCAAGUUUUCUAUCUAUUAUUAAUAGCUCUUUACAAACAGGUACUGUCCCAUCUUGCCUUAAACAGGCUGUGGUCCAUCCUUUACUUAAAAAGCAAAUCUCGAUCCCUCUGAUUUUAAUAACUAUAGGCCUAUUUCAAAUCUUCCUUUUUUGCAAAAAAGUUCUGGAAAAGUGUGUACUAAAUCAAAUUUGCCUCUACUUAAUUUCUAACAACAUUCUGGAUCCUUUUCAAUCUGGCUUCAGAGCCAAACACAGUACUGAAUCUGCACUUUUAAGGGUAGUAAAUGACCUCUUACUAUCCGCAGACUCUGGCAACUGUACUAUUCUGCUAUUAUUUGACUUAAGUGCGGUUUUGAUACAGUGGAUCAUCGUAUCCUGUUAA
ensembl:lncRNA